rnacentral:rRNA from 1 species
GUAGGGGGCUAGCGUUUUCGGGAUUGACGGGGCUGAAAGCGUGCGGUGGCGGUGUGUGAAGGCAUGAGUGAAAGGCAACGGCUAAAGCGUAGGAAGCUCUUGAAACUGGGAGACUUGAGUGAAGGGGAGGAGAGUGGAAUUCAGAGUGUAGCGGUGAAAUGCGUCGAUAUGAGGAGGAACACGAGUUGCGAAGGCGGCACUCUGGACUGUAACUGACGCUGAGGCACGAAAGCGUGGGGAGCAAACAGGAUUAGAUACCCUGGUAGUCCACGCUGUAAACGAUGAGUACUAGGUGUCGGGGGUUACCCCCUUCGGUGCCGCAGCCAACGCAUUAAGUACUCCGCCUGGGAAGUACGCUCGCAAGAGUGAAACUCAACGGAAUUGACGGGGUCCCGCCCAAGUAGCGGAGCAUGUGGUUUAAUUCGAAGCAACGCGAAGAACCUUAACUAAGCUUGACCUCCCAANGACAUCUCCUUAAUCGGAUAGUUCCCUUCGGGGACAUUGGUGACCGGUGGGGCAUGGUUGUCGUCAGCUCGUGUCUUGAGA